rnacentral:misc_RNA from 1 species
GAUGAAGAACGUAGCAAAAUGCGAUAAGUAAUGUGAAUUGCAGAAUUCAGUGAAUCAUCGAAUCUUUGAACGCACAUUGCGCCCCCUGGUAUUCCGGGGGGCAUGCCUGUUCGAGCGUCAUUACAACCCUCAAGCUCUGCUUGGUAUUGGGCCCCGCCAGUUCUGGCGGGCCCUAAAGUCAGUGGCGGUGCCUUCCGGCUCCGAGCGUAGUAAUUCUUCUCGCUCUGGAGACCCGGUUGUGUGCUUGCCAACAACCCCCAAUUUUUUAAGGUUGACCUCGGAUCAGGUAGGGAUACCCGCUGAACUUAAGCAUAUCAAUAAGCGGAGGA